UGCUUUAUCUUUUGAUCUCAUUCACUGUGAUUGUAGUACAAGAUAUACUUGGAUUCAUUUAGUGAAACACAAGUAUGAAUCAUGUUAGACGAUAGCUUCGAUCUAGAGUGGGGUGAAUAAAUCAGUAGUUAAAGUUUUUUUAACAUAAAAAAUUUAGAAAUGCUUAUGGAAAGUGAAAGAAACCCGAAUCAAAUCAUCUAACUAAACCCGCUAUCAAAAAGCCCGAAUAUGCGUAAUAGUAAUCAC
rnacentral:lncRNA from 1 species